CACGUAGGGUGCGAGCGUUGUCCGGAAUUAUUGGGCGUAAAGAGCUCGUAGGCGGUGCGUCGCGUCGGCCGUGAAAACCUGCAGCUUAACUGUGGGCGUGCGGUCGAUACGGGCAUCACUGGAGUUCGGCAGGGGAGACUGGAAUUCCUGGUGUAGCGGUGAAAUGCGCAGAUAUCAGGAGGAACACCGAUGGUGAAGGCAGCUCGCUGGGACGGUACUGACGCUGAGGCGCGAAAGCGUGGGGAGCAAACAGG
rnacentral:rRNA from 1 species